GAUUGCACUUAGCUUAAGCAUGAACUUGCAUUCCCUUUGCUUUAGAAUCACCUAGGAUUGGUUCGACAAUCUUUUAUACUACAUUGAUUUGAUAUUGGACCCUUGAAAAGUCCUGCAUCAUGUACCCAACUGGAUUUACAUUCUUAUGUGUUAUGACAAUAUGUCGUAAGACAUUCCUUUUAUUCAGGAAGAGUAACUCAGUGUAUAUGGUAAUCUUCCACCUCUCCUAAUCAUGUCUUUUCUAAUAUUCCAACGUAGAUCUUGAAUAUGGAUCAUCACUUUCAUAAUCAAUUUCUUUGGAUACAGAAAAAGAGAAUACUUCAUUGACAUCUUUUAUCUUAUUUCUGAUCCAUAACUUUCUGUUUCCUACAUAGUUGAUUGAAAUCUCAUAUUUUCUGUUCUUUUUUCGUCAUCUGAAUUUUUUUCAGUAUUUAGUUCUUUUGGAACUUUUUUACUUAUGUCUUCCAGACAUUUUUCAAUAUGUUCUUCUGGAUUUUUCUCUCCAUUUUCGGGAGAUUUUUAUCUUUAGAAUCCGCUGGUACCAUCUUCUUUAACUGAACCUGAGGUUCAUUUAUUAUGUUGUCAUCAAUUUCUUUUUCAAGAACAACAACUCUUGAUAUAAUAUUUCAGCGGGCAUAUAUGAUUUUGAUACAUUUCUUGUAUCUGUGAACACAUAUGGUAGCUGAUUUGCCAAUUUUGAAAAUAUAAAAAUUUCUAAACUUCCAGCUCACAUUAAUUCACAUUUGUAGAAGGAUCAAAGUGCAACAACGAUGGUAUAUACCAUGUUAUCUUUUUUUAGGAAUUUCUAAUAUUUCUCCUCCUAAUGCUGUAAAUUUAUCUUCAUUAAAAUGGAAAUCGACAAAACGUGUUGUAAGCAUAUCACCGGUUAUUGGUUCAAGAUACCUUAUAAUAUUUGGUGACAUAUAACCCACAUAUAUUAUCAAUCUUUUUGUGGGCCCGUUUUAGUUCUUUGUGGCGGAGAUACCAGAACAUAAACCACACAUCCAAAGACACGGAGAUGAGAUAUAUCUGACUCAUGACCAGAUGUUAAUUGUAAUGAGUAGUGUUUACGAUAUGUACUUGGUCUUAACCGAAUCAGUGUAGCCACAUGCAAUAUAGCAUGACUUCGUACUGAAAUUAGGAAUUUCUUCUCAAUAUCAACAGUAUUGCAGUCAAUUAAAACUGUUUAAUUAAUGACUCGACCAUACCAUUUUGUGUAUAUAUGUGGGGAACUGGAUGCUCUACAACAAUCUCCAUUGACAUACAAAACUCAUUAACGGCUGGUGAAGUAAUUUCAACAGCAUCAUCCACCUUUACUUUCUUAAUGGCAUACUCAGAUAAUUGUGUUCUUAAUAUUAUUAUUUGAGAAAUAAACUUUCCGAAAACUGUAUUAUGUGUUGUCAAUAGACACACAUUUGAACAUCUGUUGGAUGGGCCGAUCAAUACUAUAAAAUACUUAAACGGCUAGCACUGUAAGUGAAUCGUCCCAUAUAUAUCAUGAAUUCUUUCCAAAAAUAUUGUUAAUUCAUUCCCAAUUUCAAUUGGCGAUGACUGAGUUAUAAGUUUUCCUUUAGAACAUGCAUUACAUAUAAAUUCACCCGUUUGAAAAAAUAUUUUGUUUACCAACGAUGGCCAUUCGAAUUUGCACUUUUUCAUCAUGACGGAAUUAGAAUGUCUUAGUCACUCAUGCCAGACUUUAAAUGUAUUAGUAAACUUCAGGUUACUUUGGAAUAUGAUUAGUCAUGGUUAUUUUUGUACAAUAUAAUUCAGAGCAAAAUAUUUUUAACUCUUCCCAUAUAUAUUUCAUCUCUAUAAUGUAAAGAUACUCAAUGCCACUUUUACUCAUAUCUAUCUACAAUCUUCUCUUCAUGGUCACCAUUCUCCUCUCCAUCUUCACCAUUCUUCAUCAUUUUCCGUCAAAGGAAUAUCUUUAGUCUCCAUUGUCACUGUCUUUAUCGUCGCAGUCUCUUCUUCGCAUUUUCCAUCGUCAUAUUUUCCGUUGUCGCAGUCUCUUCGUCGCAGUCUCCAUCGUCAUAAUCUUCAUCCUCACAGUCUCCAUAGUUGCAGUCUUCAUCACACAACUAAACCGUCAACUCCCUCCUCUAUUCAAGCGUCUUCCUUUGUUCUCUCUCUACCCGUGAAUUUGGAGAAACCAGAAGAUGGUGAAAAAAAAACUACUUGUCUUUGUCUAGAAAUAGGGUUUAAAGUCACGGGUCAGUGUCAUAUUUUAUGAAUACAGGUUGUGAUUAUGGGUCAACGCAAUUUUGUAACGCAAUAAAAAAUCUAAACGUGAUUAUACUAAUUUUAUUAAUUUUGUGCAAUUAGAUAGAAUUAUUUACUUUGGGGGGUUAGUUGAUGAGAGUAAAAGUCUAUGGGAUCUGAGUGUGGGUACAUGUAUUUGAGGGGGGAAUAUCAAAGCAACCCUAGUUUCAAUAUGAUAUUCAUUUCUCCGGAUAUCCUUUAAAUUUAAUAAACUUACGAGACUCUCGGAAAUAUAAUACAUCACUUAUUUCAAACGUUGUUCCAUGUAGCAUUGAAAACUGGCUCUGAUAAUUUUUUUAUAAUCAAAUUUUGUAUUUACACUACCAACAAAUCUUUUAUUUUCAAACUAGAGAAAUUUUUAUUAUUUUAAUUAUUGUGUGCGGUGAAGCACUUUCGCCAAACAUAUAUCUCUAUUCAAAAUCUCAAAAUAUGGCAUUGAUGAAUUUAAAAUAUGUAUAAAAUAUGCCGUAAUAUAAAUAUUAAACAUAGCAUUUAUUUGAUAAUAGAAAUAUGUAUAUAAUAUAAAACAUGAAGUAUUAUUUUUCAGGAAAAUACUUAUCACAUCACAUCGAUUUUAUUAUUCAUUGAUACUCUCUCGAUCAACCAGAAAAUCUGAAACGUCGAGAUGUGUAUCAUCAUUCAAACCAUCAAAAGAUGGCUUGUGUUCAUCAUAGGUGAAGUUUUCUUCACUUCCUUUCUUCUUUUCCUUUUGGGAUUCUUGAUACAAAUAGAUUAAAUAUUUUGGCGUUCGACAAACAUGUAUCCAAUUUCCUUAUAUGCCUCAUUUGUAGCAAAGUUUUUCAGUUUGCUUGCUAACAACUUCAAUUUUCCUGAAAGUUCUUAUGAAUUCUUUCAUCAUGAGAAAAAAAAAUUUCCUUGUCCUCUUCUAUGACCACGAUAACGGUUUAUAUCGCGUCCACGUCCUUUUCUUUUCCAAUUAUUAUAAUUGGAUGAUACAAUUACUUCAUGUAAUGAAACAGAUCCAAUGGUACAAGCAUAAUGGUUUAAUGUCACGAGUUGAUUAUUCAGGUCCAAAACAAGGACUUGCCAUGUACUAUUUCUGCAAAACUACACUUUUAGAAUAUACCGUGUAGUGAUUCUUGUGUAUCAUAUCAUAAUCACUUAUCUUCGCUCAACAUAACAUCAUCUUUGAUGUAAUUCCAAACAUCGCGAAAUUAUAAUCACUAACAUUUUUAUAGUCCUAAAAUUGAAGAUAGAUCCAUUUGUAUUUUAUUUUUGGUAAGAUCACAUAUUUAUGAUAAUCAAAACUUCUAUUUUAAAAAUUGUCAAAUAUCCACAUGAUCUUCUUUUGUAAUGUAUUCAUCUUUUAAACCAUCAUGUAUGUGGUGUCGUAAAAAUAUCAUGGUUUUUUUUAUAUCAUCCAACUUUUUAUUUAUCGAUGGUUUCUAUAAGUCUGCUUCCUCUUAGGUGUUUUUACAUCUAUUGUUCUUGUCAUAUAAUUAUUCUUAGUAAUAUCAAAGACACUAAUUUUGAGAUUUGUCAAAAUUGACAUAAUAAAUAAUAAUGUAUUUAUAAAAUAAUAAUAUAAAAAUAUAAUAAAAAAAACAUUUAAAUGCAUAAUUUAAAUAUAUAAUUCAUAGUAGAAAGUUUAAAACAUAAACUAAAUGUAUAAUUUAAGUGCAGAAUUAAAAGAACAUAAAUAGAAUCGGAGACUAACCUACCAUAUAAUUCGAAGAUAUAUAAUUUAGUGUACAUAUCAAUUAAUAAUUUGUAAGCAAAACCUUUCAUAUGAUCCGAGGAAAUAUGUAAUUAUUUUGAUCAUAAAGACAUAGCUAAUUACUUUAUUUUGAAAAAUAAAUCAACCAAAGAAUACAGUGAUUUUAUGUUUGUGGGAAAAAAAAUACCUGAUUAGAAAAAAAAUGAUUUUCUUCUGUUUUUUUUACAAUUAAACACAAAAUACUAUAUAUUGGGGAAGGAGGACAAGCAUUGUCUUGUUUAUAAAUAAGCGUUAACCAAUAUAAACAAGUUAUAUGUAUUUUUAUUUUUGCAAAUGUUGGAUAAGACUUUUAGACUUUUUGUAAGAAGUAGUUUUAAAAAUAUUCAAUCUUUUCGAAGCUUUUCAGGUAUGUUGCAUCUUUAAUUGCUUACUAGAUUUUGAUUCGCGUUUUGAAAGCGCAGGAUUUGUCUAUUUUGUAAACCUUUUAUUUUAUAACUUAUAAAUUUAUAUUAUACCAUGGUAUAUAAAUCAUUAUUACUAAUUUAAAUGGAUAUAAAAAGAAAUAUAUAAUGUGUUUGUGUACAUGUGUAAAACUUGAAAGUGUAAGAUUUUCUAUUUAUUGUAUUGAAUCGAUUCUAUUUAUUAUAGUAGCCAUUAUUUAGGAAUAUUUCUUUAUUGAGUUAAAAUAUUUUAGGGAAAAUUUUACUUAUACACUUUUCUUAAUACCACUAUUCAACUAUACCACCACUCAAAGGACAUUUUCAUAAAUACUACAUUCAUUAGUUUGUAAAAGACUAAACUAACCUUACCUUAUCUUCAAUCUUUCAUCUCCUUUUUCUCUACCGUCAUGAUCCUUCUUCUCUCUCCGUCGAGAUCCAUAGUCUCUCUCUACGUCACAUCCAUCGUCUCUCUCUCUGAGAUCCAUAGUCUCUCUCUCCGUCGGAUCCACUGUCUCUCCGGAUCCAUCGUCUCUCUCUCUCCAUUGAGAUCCUUCUUCUCUAUCCGUCGAGAUCUGUCGUCAUCUCCAUCAAGAUCCGUCGUCGUCUCCGUUGAGUUCCAUUGUCACUCUCUCUCACAGCCGGCGAUAAGAGAUUACGAGAAUCACGAUUCAAAACCUCAAAGAUGUUGGCUCUUCUACACGAUUCACACUUUUAGAUAGCAAUGAAUUUUGCACAUCUUUGAGGUUGCGUCCGAGGAUUUAUGAAGCUAGAAAAGAACCACUAGACAAUCCAAAAGUGAUUAUCCAAUCGGUGUCUUGGUCAAUAAUGUGAAGCGUUUUAUAAAAGAUUAUAAAUGUAGUUUUAUAAGGGUUUAUAAAUUUAUAAAUUAGAGAGUUGUAGAGACUUAUAAAACGUUGUUUAUUCUUUGUUACAUCUUGUGGUUAAUACAAUGUUUGGAUUUCCUGAUGAAUACAAACAUUUGGUGACCCCAACA